rnacentral:lncRNA from 1 species
UCUGAAUCCCAGAGAUACUGUCACCUUACCCCAGGCCAUUAGGUGGAGUCUCACUUUGUCACCCAGGCUGGAGUGCAGUGGCACGAUCUUGGCUCACUGCAACCUCCACCUCCUGAAUUCAAGCGGUUCUUCUGCCUCAGCCUCCCAAGUAGCUGGGACUACAGGUACGCACCACCAUGCCCGGCUAAUUUUUGUAUUUUUAGCAGAGACGGGGUUUCACUGUGUUGGCCAGGCUGGUCUUGAACUCCUGACCUCAUGAUCCGCCCGCCUUGGCCUCCCAAAGUGCUGGGAUUACAGGCAUGAGCCACCGUGCCUGGCCACAUUGUAAUCUUUAAAAGUAUAUUUCCACCAGACAGAAAUAAUUUGUUUUUUACUUGAAAAUUAUCUACAAAAUAAAUUCUGCCCUUACAGAACUGUGAAGCAACAGAACUGUAAAGUCAACAGUAAAGCAACCAAAGGUACAAGACCAGUAAUGCCGUAAAUAAAUAACUGGUAAUCUCUUUUGAUUAUUUCCAAGCUUCUAACAAUUUUUCUAAUAAUUUUCCACCACCCUUUGGUUGAUAAUCUCCGAAGAUUUUUAUGAAUUAUAGUAAGACUCAUUUCAUUAUGUUUGGUUGGAUUAUUACAUAUAUAGGUCCAACCAAAGUGUUAAUUACAUAGGCUUCAUUGAGCAUCCUGUGUUGUAUUAACCAGUACCAGAGAACUAACUUUCAUUUACAAAUUUUCAUAAGGAAUCUUAGAUUGAACUUCUGUAUCAUUUGCUCUUAUAUACUGAGGCUAAAAAACUGAAUACAAAUGCUCUAUUCGUUUUGACCCACAGGACAUCUAAUUUGAAUGAAUUCUACUCUUUCUGAGGUCCUCCAAAUUUGUUAAGGCUUAUGAACUUUCUUACCACCUAUGAAAACAGAGGUGUUGAGUAUCAGGUACCAAUAGAAGAAUAAAAACAUUGCCAACAAC